ensembl:lncRNA
AAAACAUUAAAAGAUAUAGACAGAUGGUUCAGUUCUUUUAUAUGGGCUAAUAAAAGACCUCGCCUUAGGAUUAAUAUAUUGCGUUUACCAGAGGAUAUGGGUGGCUUGGGUCUUCCGGAUAUUAGAAGAUAUCAACUUGCUGCCCAUUUACGUUAUAUAACUACCUGGAUUUCUGAAGACCCAACUUCAUUGUGGCUGGAUAUAGAGUCCUUUCAAUCACAAGUCCCUCUUCAAAAUUUGCUUUUUAUUAAAAAAAUGAAGACAGUUAGAGUAGCUUGUACAAACCCAAUUACUGUAAAUUCUGUGAAAGCUUGGCAGUCUGUUAGGCGAUUUGAGGGCAAAUCAUGUUUAACAUCGCUUUAUACUCCAAUAUGUAACAAUCUAGAUUUCCCCCCAGGUAUCAGUGAUUCACGUUUUCGACAGUGGGCUCUUAAGGGGCUUUCUAAACUAAAAGAUCUUUUUGAUAAUAAUAUUCUUAUGUCUUUUAGUCAGAUUUCCCAAAAAUACAACUUAGAUGGGCUGGAUUUUUUCCGCUAUUUACAAAUAAGAAAUUAUAUUCAAAAGGAUACAACACUUCUUUCUAAUGUAUGUUCUUCAGAAAUCGAGAAGCAGCUUUUCGAAAUGCACUCGAUUAAAUCUAUAAGAUUGUUUUAUGAUGUGUUAUCAGAGUAUCUUGACACUUCCACUCAUUUUCUUAAAAUAAUUUGGGAAAAGGAAUUUAAUAUACAAGUAACAGAGGAAGAUUGGUGUACGGUUUGGGAAAAUGCAAAGAGUCUGAGUAUAUGUAAUAAAGUAAGAGCUAUCCAGCUCAAGAUUCUUCACAGAGCUCACAUUUCUCCUUCCCAGCGUAGCAGAUUUAGGGCUGAUUGCUCUCCUUUCUGUCCCAAAUGUAAGACAGAAAUAGGUAGUCUUACUCAUUGUUUGUGGUUUUGUAACAAGAUACAGAGGUUCUGGUGGGGAGUUUCUGAAGAACUGAACAAAAUUUUGGGGGUUACUUUGGUUCCAGAUCCAAGGACUUAUUUGCUGGGAGUGUCUCCUCCUGUGGGUCUUGAUAAGUGCAAAAUUAGGCUUUUUAAUAUUCUGAUUUUCAGUGCAAAGAAAUGUAUACUUUUAAAAUGGAUAUCAGAUAAGGCUCCCUCCAUUAGGAUGUGGCAUCAAACUAUUCUUGAAUAUCUGUCGUUAGAUUACCUGACUUGUAUUGUACAUGAUAAGACUGGAAAGUUUCAUAAAAUUUGGGAACCUUUUAUGACAUAUGUUGAAUUUGACAUUGCUUCCAUCCUGACAAGAGGAUUUAUCUGAGGGUAUUAUAAUCUCUAAUAUUUUUUUCCCGACUUAGUGAAUUCCCAUGUAUGUGUAUAAAAGUAUGUAACCCUUACUUUUAGGGUGUGAGCUGAUUUUGUGGUGUUUUUUUUUCUGCUUUUUGUUUUUGUUUUGUUUUUGUUUACCUGUCAUUGUCAUUAUAUUAUCACAAUUCUGUAAGGAUGUUAUUUCUUUGUGAAAAGUGAAAAAAAAAAAAAAAAAAAAAAAAAAAAAACUACAAAAUUUAAAAAUUAAAAAAAAAAAAAAAUAAAAAAAAUUUUAUUUAAAAAACAUUUAUNNNNNNNNNNNNNNNNNNNNNNNNNNNNNNNNNNNNNNNNNNNNNNNNNNNNNNNNNN